UCAUAGAUGAAUUUCUAUGGAGGAAUUAAAAGGGAAUCGGGUGUAAAUCCCGUACAGUUCCCGCUGCUGUAAAUUCCUACCUCUCUACAUGGGGGUAUGAUACUUUAACUCUCUUUGCCACUGGCUAUAUAAGCUGGGAAGGCGUUAAAGUUGGAAUGAGUCAGAAGACCUGCCUUUGCAUAUU
rnacentral:ncRNA from 1 species